AGACCAGUGCGCGUUAUUGUAAGCUUGAUCAGCGCCCUAGGACCCACGCGGUACCCUUCCCGAGCGCACUAGUCCCCAAAGAGUGACCGUCCCGCGCGUACUAGGGUGCGUUUAGUACUCAUCGGAGGAGACUAGGGCACAAAGAGGACGCGUCACACGGGACUAGGGCGCUUUUGAUACUCACCGAAGGGGCCUAGGGCUCAAAAGAGUACGCGUGACGCGGGACUAGGGCUCAGAAAGUACGCGUGCCGCGGGACUAGGGCUCAGACAGUACCCGUACCGAGAGACUCGCGCUCAAACAGUCACUAUGCAAGACUAAUAAUAUAGGUGGCGUAGGGACUUGAAAGAACCUUCGAACACAUUCGGCAAAGACCCAAUAAUAUCGCAACUCGCUUAACAACUGAGGAUUAAUUUACGCGGGCCCCAUGAAAUUAUAGUGGGGCAAUUCUAGAAAAAAAUUGUAAAAAACGUCCGUCAGACGACAUUUGUGAGCGACUGAGAGGUGCUACGGGUUGUUGAAGCACAUUACUAGACGACUAGACGUGUUUUUGCAAGACGCAACAAUACGUAGCACCUCUCAGUCGCUCACAAAUGCCGGACACCCCUAUCUGAUUCAAUAGAAAUAACGACAAAAAAUUAAAGAUAAGAUGCACUUUUUAAGCCCUACAAGGGCCUGUGCUUCCUGCCCAGAGAGAGAGAGAGAGAGAGAGUGCAAAAAGUGUCGCUACUCUUUGAAGACUGCUGACAAACAUUAAUUUUAACGCAUGCACAUGGACCCGCCAGAGGAAUAGUUACCUAUUUGACGAGAUAGUAGUGAAGUGAGCUCCUAGACAAAGAUAUAUUUCAGCAUAAGUUGAAGAAGCGCUGCAUCGCCCUAAAGAUAGAGUCGAAAACUGCGUUCUUCUGCGCGCAGCCGUUCGCCCACACGAGCAGGCGCAAGGACUGCGUCGACUGGGUCCCGAAAGAGGAGGCUGUCGGUUGCGCUCCUUCCCCAUGUUACAGGUUGGCUCAGCGGUCUAAGGCGUCGACAUCACCGGCAAGGAAUCCGAGGAACCAGAGGACAAGGGAACGAAAACGACCGAGCGCGCAGACGGAUAUGGGACUAGUACGCAAAGAGUCCUCGCGCCGAUUUAAUUUUUGUUUCAGGCAAAAGGGGACUAGUACGCUUUUAAUACGCUCGGCUCGGCGCACGGUCACUGUUUGCGCACUAGUCCCCUCCCAAUAAGGGACGGGACCAGGGCACACGGAGGGCGUUUUUUCGUCACUUUUGGGCGUGUUUGAGACCAGUCCCCAUGCGCCCGGACUAGUACCCAAACAGUACGCUCGUGGGGACUGAAUGGUCCCUGUUUGGGGACUGUUUGGGUACUGAUUAUUUUUGUAAGGGGAACUUACACCUGUUUCAGACUGAGACAUAGUGGGACAGCAAAUAUUCAUCGAGAAGUUACUAGUUUAAGAGAUUCGGUUUGAUGUUCUUUUCAGACAUACUGGGGUCAAACUUUUAGGUUGUUAUGACAUUCUAUUUUUCAUUAUAUUAUCAUUAAUGAAUGAUGCAUCUAAAUGUAAGGAUUCAUUUAUAUACUUCAUACUUAGUUGAAGCUCCAAAGUCAUGGAAACAUGCCAUCUCCAAAUCUUUAUAAUUACAUGCCUUCUUAAAGUAGCAAAACAAAAGAAGUAAGGUAAAAACAUGAAAUAAUUUUUUUUAGCCCUUGCCCCAGAUUCCAAAGUUUAUCUUUUUACACUUAAAUUAAGCUUAAGGUGUGUACUAAAACAUAUCAAAAAUCUGGAAUGGAGAUUUUGGAAAUAAGGGAAACGUUCCAGAAAGAGCAGAAUUUUUGUAUGAAAGAUGUUGAUAAUUAAAGGAAGAUGAGGCAAUAUCACUCAUUUCUUCCUUUCUCUAUGCUAAAUUAUUGUUCUUUCAAAUGGUUUUGUUUUUGUUCUUCCUUCUAAGAUUACUCUUCAACAGUUCUGCAUAGUUGUUAUAGAUCAUUUUGGGAUUUAUUUUAUCUGGGGAAGGGGACAAGAAAAAUUAUUUCAUAUUUUUACCCUUACAAGAGUUAGACGGGGGUACACAAAGUGAACAGAGUUAGCUUGCCUCAUUUUUUCCGGUCUCUUUUGACCUAGUUGACUUGAUUUCAAUGAAAAGUAUUUAGAAUAAUUUGCCAAGUAAUCUUUAUCAUGAAAUUUGGUUUAGACUACUUUAGGUAGUAAAUCUAAAACAUGAUACAGACACAGUUUAGUUUUUAAUAAAAAAAAAGGUUACACAUACUUACAAUUGCUACUUUAAGAAAACAAACCAUAUAUUAUAAAGAAUGCCAUAUUCCUCCCUUUCCCACAAUGAAUGGUCUUCAAAGUGUGACGAGGAAAAAAAAUUAUAGAAAGUGACGCCAAACGUUUCCUUGUCCUAGCUCAAUCCUGCACUGGUCGGGCGGCCCCGGUGGCCUGGCACCCAUCGGCGCGCAAGUGAGACAGAGCUAGUACGCUGGCAGCGCGCGAGAUGGACACCUUUAACUGGCAGGGGCUAAGGGUAGGCUGCCUACUCGAUUAACAUGUGUGGCGGGUCGGCCUACCCAGCACUUUGAAGGCGCUCAGGCGUAAGAACCGAGCCUUUUCGAGAGGUAUAGCUGUGGUGAAACUUUCAUCCAUAUAACUGUAAAUUUCGCCUGUUUCGCCGAAUAAUCAUUUGUACUUUCAAAUAAUCCUGGAUAAUCAUUGAUAAUCACGGAUAAUCAUCGAUAAUCCUUGAUAAUCAUCAUAAUCGCAAUAAUCUUUCAUAUCAAAAUAAUCAGUAAUAAUCAGUGAUAAUCAGUAAUAAUCAAUAAUAAUCAGUAAUAAUCACGAGUGAUUAUAAUCCUCGUACGCAAAAUUUCUUAGUGGUAGACCCUUGCAAAUUUACGGGUAUGUCUGUGUCCUAAUUUUUCCUCGUAGUUUGAUGUCAUAUGUUUAUGGCUGUUUGUUACUCGCUCUCUUGCAAUUCGGCGGACUAGCGGUAUGUCUAUGUCAGAGAGGAAGAGAUAGGGGGCAGCGGGUGGCCGGCAGAGCGGCCGGCAUCCCUGGCUAAGUAUUGUUCGGUAUUGUUGAGAACGGUGGGACCGGUGGACGCCUCGCGCCCCCCUUAUACAUCUGGGUGACGUCAUGCGUCUGGUUCUCUGUCCUUACCGAGAGUAAAAGCUACCUGACACUUUAAGUUACUUAAAUAUUCUUAACGUUUAGUCAAAAGCUUUUUAAGGUAUCAUCUGCUAAAAAUAUUUUUUUUGAAGAUUUUUACAGGUUUGCCCCCUUAAGCCAAUAUCCGGAGCAAACUGUCAUCAUUUUUUUGUGUGUAACUAUGGACAUUUUAUAUUUCAGGCUAAUCUUCGCACACUUGUUCGUACUGCGAAUGAGUUUAACAUUAGUAUUCUGUCCUACCACGCCUGGUCUCUGAUUGACGGCUUCGAAUUUUCAAGCGGUUACGAAAAGCGUCCGUUCGGUUUGAUUCGUGUGGAUUACGAGAACAAGAGUCUUAGCCGCACAAUCAAGGACUCGUCCAAACUUUUCCAGAAAAUAGCUGAAACGGGUUACGUACCGUAUAUCCCGUUGUCACCACCCACGUCAUCCUCAUAUGUUAUUGUGCCCUUCGCAACCUUCUCGUGUUUGUUAUCACUAACUACUAAUCUUAUAUAAGUCAGUCAGUGCGUAGUACUGUACUUGCUGAUUAUUCAUGAUUUUAUGCAAAAUUAGCUGUGCAUCGUCUGCUUCGUGUUAAUUUGAUUGAUGAAAACUGUCGAGCUUUGAGGUAGGCCUGCUUACGCAAGGGCCUAUCGAAGAACUCAAAUUUUGAGCUAAACAUGCUGAACCACAGCAGCCCUUUACAGACUGGCCAAGGGCUCUCAUUUGGGUGAUUUCUCUUCCCGCGAGAAAGGAAAGCCAUUGUACAGAAUGUGUGGUAGUGGAUGAUCGUGUGUAUGAAUGUGCUGUGCAUAUGAAAGUGGAGGGCGUGUUUGUGUACGCGGACAAGGGGCCCUUAUAUAAGUCACAUCUAUACUACUACAUGUAUUCGGAAAUAAACUAUUAUCAGUACGCACUAUGAA